AGGCAGGAUUCUGGUUUCCACAGAGCUGCUGGUACCAAAAUAAUAUGAUUAAUGGAGGAAGAAAAAGGAAUGGAAUGAUUACUGCUAGCAAAAGAAGACCAUUACCCAGUGGAAGAGUAUUUCUGGCUUUUGUUUCUUCAAAUUGGCACCUGCCUCAGCCUGCAUGACGUCAAUGUGGAUUCUGAAAGGUCCACAAAAGCGACAGUACAUUGAAGGGUGGUGGUGGUGGGACAGAGAAAAGAAGCUCCAAGCUUGCGUAGUCAGGUUCUACAAGCUCCUUGCUGCUGCUUGGCAUCACAGCCCAUAUGGAGCGGCUUUCUGGAAGAGAAUAACAGCACAAGGUGGACCACAGAGGUUGAGGAGCACUUUCAAGGCAGUGUGAUUUGUGAAAGGGAAAACACUUUCAAGGAUGAAUGAAGUAUGGUGCUCAUUAGCCCUGGACAAAUGUGAAUUAUUUAAGAGUGACAGCUCCCACAGAGAGCAUCCCAAAGGUUUGAAGCCUAAUUAAACCUGGAAGACUACUGCCACAUUCAGUUCACUGAGCUGAAGGCAACAGAUGAACUUAAUGGGCUGCUCCAAAUUGUUUUUGCUAUUGUUGACCAGCUACACAUUGGAGAAUCGUGGUACCCACACUGGGGAUGCUGCAUCCAAUUAGGUAAACAUCUCUUUUUGCAAGAGUUAAGGCCUCCCAAGCCUAGCAUUAUCACCAGAAUCACCAUGAGCCAUCCAAAUAACAAACAGAACUUCAAAAACAUGAACUUGUAUAGCACAGGAUCUCACCUCCUUUUACUUUAGGAGAGAUUGCAAUGGUGACACUGAGUGCAUUGGGGAUGGAUCUUCACUUGUAUCUCUGAACAAGAAAGCAGUCCAUGGCUCAGGUUUUUUAUAUCUGUGUUUAUAUAUUUUAUCAUAGCAGCAAGUUCUUGCCCCCUAUGUCUCCUUGUCUUGAAGAUAAGCAAGCAAGAACAACUGAGAUCUAUGUUGUGUGAACUGAAUAUUAAGAACUGCAGCAAAAAUGGAAAUGUGUUCCCAGCCUCUCUACUGGAAGUUAAACAGGACUGGCAAGCCCCUUUGGCACACGGUAACCACAGACUCUUAGUGGGUUUGUGUGUGUGUGUGAAGCACCACACAAAUCAUGUGGUUGUGGUCAGUAUGAAAUGAAGUUGGGGGCUGCCAUGAGGGUACAUGUUCCCCAGCCCUACUGACAAGAGUUUUCAGCCUCAGAUCUUGGCUGAUGUGUCUUCUGGCUGUGUGAGAAAAUAAAAAGCAAAUAAAAAGCUUCAGCUGAGGCUUCACUCACUGGUGGUGUGCCAGGAGUUCAUUAAGAAGAACCGCAGAACAUGACCAUUCAAAGGAUCUUUCCACUCAACACACUCAGAGUGCUUUGCAAACCUUAAUCAGUUCAGACUUAAAACACCCCUUUAACAAGAAACAAAUAGAGAUUGACAGGCUAAGAGAAGGUAACUUUAGCAGCCACAGAGCCUCAGUUCAGAGCUUCUCCCAAACUACUAUUUCCUCCACUAAUUGGCAAAGGACAGGCUUUCCAUAUUUAUUUGUGAUGAUGACUGAGAGCAAGCAAUGGGACCACCUGUGUGAUGUGACUUAGGAGUGAAGGCUUAGUCCCCCAACAUCAGUGUUUUCCUUUGGCUGCAAAGUGCAUGAACCCAUCUGCCCAGUGUUACAAACAAGCACGUACGUCUCACCACGUCAGAGGGGAGCUUCUGCCAGUGAAACAGCUUCAUCCUCAGAGUCGGUGUCUUCUUAGCGUGGGGCUGCUCCCCACAUCCACAGAUCUUCUAGACACUGUUUUGUGAUGAUUUGAGCAGUGCAUGCUUGAUAGCAGACUCUGCAUGGCUUGCCCCGGUCCCAUUUUCCUGCUCUACAAGACAAGAAGGAGGUGCAUGGAUUAGCAAAGCUCCUCACAACUGCUCUCUACUGGUAACUCCUACAGAGACACAGAAAUAACA